GGUAUUUGGUUUUGGUUUUGGGAGAGUUUUGGAGUGUUAUGGGACACAUAGUCCCUAAAGUGGGAGUUUAAGUCGUAGGAGUUUAUGUAGUUUGACUUAUGUGAAGACGACUCCGUAAUAGAGUUUUGAUGGUUCUAAUAGAUGCGUAUGGUGAUUUCGGUCUUAGGAGCGUGUUCGGACGUUGAUUUAGAGGUCUGUAGGUCAUUUCGGUGUGAGUUGGCGAAAGUUGGAAAAUUGGUGGAAUUUUGGGAAGUUUGACCGGGAGUGAAGUUUUUGAUAUCGGUGUCGGAUUUUGAUUUCGGAAGUUAAAAUAGGUCUGUAAUGUCAAUUAUAACUUGUGUGCAAAAUUUGGUACCAAUUGGAGUUGUUUUGGUAUGAAUCGGCGUUGGUUCCGGAAUUUGGAAGUUCAUAGUUGCUUAAGCUUGAAUGUGGGUUGCGAUUUAUUGAAUUCAUGUUGUUUGAUGUAAUUUUUUGCCUCCAGUAGGUCCAUUAGGUAUUUUGUAACUAUUUGGGAUACUCGGACGGGGUCUCGGGGGCCCUGGGUGUGAUUCAAAUCGAUAUCGGAUCACUUGUUGGACUUGUGCAUUUUUUGAAAAAUCACAGCUUCUGGUGUCAUCGCACCUGCGGAGGAUAUGACCGCAGGUGCGGACUCGGAUGUGCGUGUGAGGGAGAGCUGAAGCGGAGGAGGCAUCCCAGGCCAUUACUCGCAAGUGCGAAAAAGGAUCCGCAGAAGCGGCUUCGCUUCUGCAGUGAGGAGAAGCGCUAGAGCGAUUGUGGUUGCAGGUGCGACACUUCAUCCGUAGAAGCACAAGCGCAUGUGUGCUUGGGGCGUGCGCAGAAGCAAGCUUUAAGUACCUAAAUGAGGGCCACACAUGCGAUGAUUUUUUCGCAAGUGCGGAGCCACAUAUGCGGAAGUAAGGUCUCAGAUGCGACAUAACUGGACAGAAAAUGGAAUUUUUCGAGGGUUUGCUUCAUUUUCAUUUUUGAGACUUUGAGAGAUCGGAUUGAGGCAAGAUUUUGAGGGAUUUUCAGAGGAUAUUUUAGGGUAAAGAUUUUUUACUCGUUUUUUUCUAAACCCCAUGAAUCUACUGUUAAUUCUAUCUUCUAAUUUGUGUUUUGGAGUUCAUAAUUAGGGAAAAUGUGUAGAAGUUCUUAGACUAAAUUCUUGAGUUUUCAAAGGUGAAAUGGGAUCGAAUUUGAAUAAUUCUUGUAUGGUUGGACUCGAUAUCGAAUGGGUAUUCAAUUUUUAUAAUUUUGGUCGGGUUCCAAGACGCGGUCCCGGGUUGACUUUUUGGGGCGAUUUUUCCAUUCUUUGCUAAAAUCAUAAUUUCAUUAUUUAAACUAGUUUCCUAUAGUUAUAUUUAUAGUAUGAAAUUGUUUUGGCUAGAUUCGAGCCGUUCGGAGUUGAAAAAUCGAGGGAAGGGCCUUCUAAUUGAUUGAUUGAGCUUGGUUUGAGGUAAGUGAC
rnacentral:lncRNA from 1 species